CACAUCGGGACUGAGACACGGCCCGAACUCCUACGGGAGGCAGCAGUGGGGAAUAUUGGACAAUGGGCGAAAGCCUGAUCCAGCCAUGCCGCGUGUGUGAAGAAGGCCCUCGGGUUGUAAAGCACUUUCAGCGAGGAAGAACGCCUAGUGGUUAAUACCCAUUAGGAAAGACAUCACUCGCAGAAGAAGCACCGGCUAACUCCGUGCCAGCAGCCGCGGUAAUACGGAGGGUGCAAGCGUUAAUCGGAAUUACUGGGCGUAAAGCGCGCGUAGGUGGCUUGAUAAGCCGGUUGUGAAAGCCCCGGGCUCAACCUGGGAACGGCAUCCGGAACUGUCAAGCUAGAGUGCAGGAGAGGAAGGUAGAAUUCCCGGUGUAGCGGUGAAAUGCGUAGAGAUCGGGAGGAUUACCAGUGGCGAAGGCGGCCUUCUGGACUGACACUGACACUGAGGUGCGAAAGCGUGGGUAGCAAACAGGAUUAGAUACCCUGGUAGUCCACGCCGUAAACGAUGUCGACCAGCCGUUGGGUGCCUAGCGCACUUUGUGGCGAAGUUAACGCGAUAAGUCGACCGCCUGGGGANGUNACNGGCCGCAAGGUUAAAACUCAAAUGAAUUGACGGGGGCCCGCACAAGCGGUGGAGCAUGUGGUUUAAUUCGAUGCAACGCGAAGAACCUUACCUACUCUUGACAUCCUGCGAACUUGUGAGAGAUCACUUGGUGCCUUCGGGAACGCAGAGACAGGUGCUGCAUGGCUGUCGUCAGCUCGUGUUGUGAAAUGUUGGGUUAAGUCCCGUAACGAGCGCAACCCUUGUCCUUAUUUGCCAGCGGGUAAUGCCGGGAACUCUAAGGAGACUGCCGGUGACAAACCGGAGGAAGGUGGGGACGACGUCAAGUCAUCAUGGCCCUUACGAGUAGGGCUACACACGUGCUACAAUGGCCGGUACAAAGGGUUGCGAGCUCGCGAGAGUCAGCUAAUC
rnacentral:rRNA from 1 species